CUCUCUCUCACCAGGAGGCUUCUCAGGGGAGCAGAGCUCAGACCCCAACCUGCCCACUAACCCCCACCCAGUCAGUCUCCUUCCAGCAGGCACAGCUGGGAGGUCACCCUGGGCUGCUCUCUAGCAGGUGGGAAGCAGAACCAUGCUGGGUCCCCUCGCCUUCCUGUGCGCCCUCCUUCUUCCCGGUGGAGUGGCAGCGCUCAGUCUGAAGCAGCCGACGGUGGUCGUGGGGCGCCUGGGCAGCUGGGCCUCGCUGUCCUGCACAGCCAGCGAAUCUGUCAGCUACAUGCACUGGUACCGCCACCAGGAGGGUACGGCCCCCAAGAGGAUUCUCAUGCUGGAAAUGUCCACAUCGUCUGUUUAUAGAGAUGGAGGCUUGAAAACAGACAAGGUCCAAGCCAAGAAAGGCAGGGAUAGCAAAAGCUGUUACCUGUUGCUGCUGAAGCUGGAGAAGAGCGACCAGGGCGUGUACUACUGCGCUGUCUGGGAGUACCAGAGCACAGCCUUAUGCGAAGCUCAGGUCCCUGAGCAAAAAGUCUCCCUCUCCCAGAGUGCUCCAGUCCUGGACCUUCCAUGGGUGCUGGGUCCCUGGGGUUUCCUGGGUCAACUGACAGUGCCGUGAAUACUGGAAGACACCCCCUCCGUGGGCCCACUGCACGUACCCCAGGCUAAGGAGCCCUGGGCUCACAGGCGGGCGCAGACCCAGGGAGCUGUCGUAUCCACAGGCACUUUUCUCAAGAUGGUCCAGGGCGGAGCUUCUGAAGCAUCUGGAGCAGAAUCUGAGCUGCUCAGUGCAGGAGCCACGAGCACUAGGCACCAGCCACGUGUGGCUACUGAGCACUUGAAAGGGAGCCAGUGCACUAGUCCACGCAGAGAUGGGCUGUGGAGGUAGCAUACAGGUAAUAUUCUGCACACUAUUAAAAAAGAUGACAUAUCUUCUUAAUAAUUUCUAUAUUGAUUGCAUAUUAAAAUA